rnacentral:rRNA from 1 species
UACGUAGGGAGCAAGCGUUGUCCGGAAUCAUUGGGCGUAAAGCGCGCGUAGGCGGCCCGAUAAGUCCGCUGUAAAAGUCAACGGCUCAACUGUUGAAAGCCGGUGGAUACUGUCUGGCUAGAGUCCGGAAGAGGAGAAUGGAAUUCCUGGUGUAGCGGUGAAAUGCGCAGAUAUCAGGAAGAACACCCGUGGCUAAGGCGGUUCUCUAGUACGGUACUGACGCUGAGACGCGAAAGCGUGGGGAGCGAACAGG